rnacentral:sRNA from 1 species
UAUAAAUAAUGGGAAAAUAAAUAAAGAACUGUAAUUAAACUAUUAUUAUUAUUAUUACUACUACUAUAUAUUAUCGUAACAAAAUUAUGUAUUGCUGUGAAUCUGACAAAUGAAACCAGAACCUUAUAUGUAUGUAAAAUCAAAUUAAAUACAUUGAAAAAUAAAUCGUAUGUUAUUCAAAAAAAAAAAAGAAAAAAACAUUAGGAAAACUCAUUUACAUUGGUUGCAUCCAACAACAAAGCAAUGAAUGUUUUGGGAAUUGAAAUUGACCCCCAUAAAACCCAUAAUUUUCCAUUUGUGUACACAUCUUCGCUCAAAUUAUGUUUAUAUAUAUCUGGAUUAAAUUGAAGAAAUCAAAUCGGACUCUUUUAGAGGUUCCUGUGGAAAAAUCAUGGGAUAAGGUCAAAUCGGGAGUCAAAUCGAAUCAAACUUGCGUUGAAUGAAAGAACCAUAUCGGAAAAUAAUUUCAAUAAUUAAAGGCUCA